rnacentral:rRNA from 1 species
CAAUAGCGUAUAUUAAAGUUGUUGCGGUUAAAAAGCUCGUAGUUGGAUUUCUGCUGAGGACGACCGGUCCGCCCUCUGGGUGAGUAUCUGGCUUGGCCUUGGCAUCUUCUUGGAGAACGUAGCUGCACUUGACUGUGUGGUGCGGUAUCCAGGACUUUUACUUUGAGGAAAUUAGAGUGUUUCAAGCAGGCACACGCCUUGAAUACAUUAGCAUGGAAUAAUAAGAUAGGACCUUGGUUCUAUUUUGUUGGUUUCUAGAGCUGAGGUAAUGAUUAAGAGGGACAGACGGGGCAGUUCGUAUCUGGCCGCGCAGCAGGUGAAAGUUACUUUAACUUAGGCUGCAUGACGAACCACACUGCGAAAAGCAUUUUGCCAAGAAUGUUUUCAUUAAUCAAGAACGAAAGUCAGAGGGUC